rnacentral:antisense_RNA from 1 species
UGUGGGAGCGAGCUUGCUCGCGAAGGCGUUUUGUCAGGCGAAAUCAAUGUAACUGACCUAUUGCAUUCGCGAGCAAGCUCGCUCCCACA